rnacentral:rRNA from 1 species
GAUCAUGGCUCGGGAUGAACGCUGGCGACGUGCCUAACACAUGCAAGUCGAACGGACUUACGUUGAAGCCUAGCGAUAUGUAAGUUAGUGGCGGACGGGUGAGUAACGCGUGGGUAACCUGCCUUGUACUGGGGGACAACAGUUGGAAACGACUGCUAAUACCGCAUAAGCGCACAGCUUCGCAUGAAGCAGUGUGAAAAACUCCGGUGGUACAAGAUGGACCCGCGUCUGAUUAGCUGGUUGG